rnacentral:rRNA from 1 species
UACGGAGGGGGCUAGCGUUGUUCGGAAUUACUGGGCGUAAAGCGCACGUAGGCGGCUUUGUAAGUUAGAGGUGAAAGCCCGGGGCUCAACCCCGGAAUAGCCUUUAAGACUGCAUCGCUUGAACACGGGAGAGGUGAGUGGAAUUCCGAGUGUAGAGGUGAAAUUCGUAGAUAUUUCGGAAGAACACCAGUGGCGAAGGCGGCUCACUGGACCGUUGUUGACGCUGAGGUGCGAAAGCGUGGGGAGCAAACAGG